rnacentral:lncRNA from 1 species
UGCCCUGAGCACAGUGCCGUUGGCUGCGCAGCCUGUUUUCUCACGUGGUAAACCUAUGAAUACAGCCUGACGAUUGCUCGAGGUGUGACAGAGACAAUUUGGAUGCAAAACAGGAAAAUAUCUCAGGCUCAAAGCUGGAACUGAUUCCUUUUGGACAUGGAGAGCCUGAACUUGGCAUACAUUGAUCCCUGUCCCUGGGUAGUUUAAUCUUGCCAGCCAAAAACCUAUAUGGAUUUACACUUCCCUAUGCAACCGUUUGAUAAUCACAUUGCCAUGGCUACACUUUAGUCUUGCAAUAAAAGUGUCAUUUCACACAUUUACAUCAAAAGGAACUCCGGGACAUGCAGCUCUGGUGUAGCAGAGUAAGCUGGUCUCCUUCUAUAAACACUUCCCAUUUCUAACGCCCUAUUAUUAGAUUCACUGGGUGUUUUCUUUAGGGGGUGAGGACUAUGGAAUAGGUUUGGCAGCAUGGAGAUGAAGUUCCUGAAUGCUCUGUGGUCUUGUCUACUUUAAGGCUUCCGCAGGGCUGGCAUCAGAACAGUUGUCCUAUUGGGGUCUCAGCAGUCCCUCAGGUGCCUCCUUCUGGAUUCUCUUCUGAGCCUACUCCUUCUGAUGGCUCCUUGUCCCACAGAUAAGGGCAUGGGCAGCCCCUGUCUUGGCUUGUGCCUUUUUCUCUGCCUCUGACUGGAAGCAACAGGCAGGAACGCCGGGUGAAGAAGCCACGCUCUUGCUCCAGAAGGAAAGCAGAAGGAGCCCAGCAGCACCACUGCAGAGCCUGCUCAGAACUUCGCUCCCUCUGCCACAGCGUGUGCAGCUUGCCAGGUAAAGCCUGGAUGAGAACACCCAGUGCUUUUCCCAAGAUGAAUGAGAUCAGCACAUAUUCAGGAAAGGAAAAAAAAAUCCUGCUAAUAUAUGGGAUGAUUUUUAACCCAGAGUUAAAGUGUUAGCUUACAAGUUCCUCUGCCUUAGGGCUCGGGAUUUCUGGGGUAGAUUUCAUGGUGAGGGUGGAAGUCUCUCUUCUCCGUUUGAUGCUGCUGUUAAAAAAGCAAGCAAAUGUUGUAGCCACAGGGUAGGCAAGAGCCCUGUGCUCAGCAGUGUGAGAUGUAGGACACGCGAAGGGUAUUGUCACAAGCUGUGGAGAAGCCUUUGCAACCUGCACACUGAUGAUUUUGGCUCAAGCCCAUAGCUCGCUAUUGCAAGCACCACAUGGCUAGAGCAGAGGGACUCUGACUCUGUUGAUCUUUCCUGGGCUAGGUUGUU